GAACUGCGAUAAGUAAUGUGAAUUGCAGAAUUCAGUGAAUCAUCGAGUCUUUGAACGCACAUUGCGCCCCCUGGCAUUCCGGGGGGCAUGCCUGUCCGAGCGUCAUUGCUGCCCUUCAAGCCCGGCUUGUGUGUUGGGUCGUCGUCCCCUCCGGGGGACGGGCCCGAAAGGCAGCGGCGGCACCGCGUCCGGUCCUCGAGCGUAUGGGGCUUUGUCACCCGCUCGAUAAGGACCGGCCGGGCGCCAGCCGGCGUCUCCAACCUUUUUUUCUCAGGUUGACCUCGGAUCAGGUAGGGAUACCCGCUGAACUUAAGU
rnacentral:misc_RNA from 1 species